AGACCCACGCCUCUCAACCUCCCAAAAAGACCGGUAAGCUCUCUCUCUCAUCACUCUUCUCUCUCUCAGAUAUGUGAUUUUUGUUGGUGGUUGAAAGUGCUCAUACUUCUACUUUCAAACUAGCUUCUAAGUGGGUCAAGGGGAAGCAAUUGGAAGAAGUUGUGGCUGUUAAAAACAUGUGAGAUAUGGGAUUGGUGGCAAAAAGAUAGCUUUUGUGGGACUACUUGAACUCAAAUAAUUUUCUGUAAAGUUUGGAAGCUAAGACAUCAUUUGUAUAUAAAUGGUUGUAAUUACUUUGUGAACAUCUUUAUUGCAUUUUUAGAUUGUAUGGAUGUUUUUUUUAUGGAUUUGGUUAGAAAUGAAUGGAAUUUAUUUUUAAUUUAUUUUUUAUGGAUUUGGUUAGAAAUGAA